rnacentral:rRNA from 1 species
UAGGGAAUCUUCGGCAAUGGGGGCAACCCUGACCGAGCAACGCCGCGUGAGUGAAGAAGGUUUUCGGAUCGUAAAGCUCUGUUGUAAGUCAAGAACGAGUGUGAGAGUGGAAAGUUCACACUGUGACGGUAGCUUACCAGAAAGGGACGGCUAACUACGUGCCAGCAGCCGCGGUAAUACGUAGGUCCCGAGCGUUGUCCGGAUUUAUUGGGCGUAAAGCGAGCGCAGGCGGUUUGAUAAGUCUGAAGUUAAAGGCUGUGGCUCAACCAUAGUUCGCUUUGGAAACUGUCAAACUUGAGUGCAGAAGGGGAGAGUGGAAUUCCAUGUGUAGCGGUGAAAUGCGUAGAUAUAUGGAGGAACACCGGUGGCGAAAGCGGCUCUCUGGUCUGUAACUGACGCUGAGGCUCGAAAGCGUGGGGAGCGAACAGGAUUAGAUACCCUGGUAGUCCACGCCGUANCGAUGAGUGCUAGGUGUUGNAUCCUUUCCGGGAUUCAGUNNCGCANCUNACGCANUAANCACUCCGCCUGGGGAGUACNACCGCNAGGNUG